rnacentral:rRNA from 1 species
CCUACGGGAGGCAGCAGUGAGGAAUAUUGGUCAAUGGGCGAGAGCCUGAACCAGCCAAGUCGCGUGAAGGAUGACUGCCCUACGGGUUGUAAACUUCUUUUGUCAGGGAGUAAUUGGGUCCACGCGUGGGCUUAGCGAGAGUACCUGAAGAAAAAGCAUCGGCAAACUCCGUGCCAGCAGCGGCGGUAAGACGGGGGAUGCGAGCGUUAUCCGGAUUUAUGGGGUUAAAAGGGUGCUUAGGCGGAAUAUCAAGUCAGCGGUAAAAUUUCGGGGCUCAACGUCGUAGUGCCGUUGAAACUGAUGUUCUUGAGUGGGCGAGAAGUAUGCGGAAUGCGUGGUGUAGCGGUGAAAUGCAUAGAUAUCACGCAGAACUCCGAUUGCGAAGGCAGCAUACCGGCGCCCAACUGACGCUGAAGCACGAAAGCGUGGGUAUCGAACAGGAUUAGAUACCCUAGUAGUC